UACGUAGGGGGCAAGCGUUGUCCGGAAUCAUUGGGCGUAAAGAGCGUGUAGGCGGCCCGGUAAGUCCGUUGUGAAAGUCCAGGGCUCAACCCUGGAAUGCCGAUGGAUACUGCCGGGCUAGAGUUCGGAAGAGGCGAGUGGAAUUCCUGGUGUAGCGGUGGAAUGCGCAGAUAUCAGGAGGAACACCGGUGGUGUAGACGGCUUUCUGGGACGGUACUGACGCUGAGACGCGAAAGCGUGGGGAGCGAACAGG
rnacentral:rRNA from 1 species